AGUGAACGCUGGCGGUAGGCCUAACACAUGCAAGUCGAACGGCAGCACAGUAAGAGCUUGCUCUUACGGGUGACGAGUGGCGGACGGGUGAGGAAUACAUCGGAAUCUACUUUUUCGUGGGGGAUAACGUAGGGAAACUUACGCUAAUACCGCAUACGACCUACGGGUGAAAGCAGGGGAUCUUCGGACCUUGCGCGAUUGAAUGAGCCGAUGUCGGAUUAGCUAGUUGGCGGGGUAAAGGCCCACCGAGGCGACGAUCCGUAGCUGGUCUGAGAGGAUGAUCAGCCACACUGGAACUGAGACACGGUCCAGACUCCUACGGGAGGCAGCAGUGGGGAAUAUUGGACAAUGGGCGCAAGCCUGAUCCAGCCAUACCGCGUGGGUGAAGAAGGCCUUCGGGUUGUAAAGCCCUUUUGUUGGGAAAGAAAAGCAGCAGGUUAAUACCCCGCUGUUCUGACGGUACCCAAAGAAUAAGCACCGGCUAACUUCGUG
rnacentral:rRNA from 1 species